AGGGUCUCACUGUGAAGCCCUGACUGGCCUGGAACUCACUCUGUAGACCAAAAUGGCCUCGCUCUCACAAAGAUACGCCUAACUCUGCCUCUUCAGUGCUGGGACUAAUGGCGUGACUGAUUGGUUUUUCACUGCCCCAAAUUGACCCUUGACACUGGACAGGAGAAAACCCCACAGUGAUGCGAUGAAUGCUAUCCUACCAAGUGGAGACUGAGCUCACAGGUUGCAGGCCUACCGACUAGAACUUAGGGCUCCAAAAUGACCAUUCAAUACUAGUGAGCGGACACCAAAGGUGAAACCAUAACCUUUGUCACUCAGUUAUAUAAGUGUUUACUAUAAAUAGAAAUAGAUAAAUUGCCAGAUAAAGGAUGGUCAGAUCUAUAAGCCAGAGUAACACACAAGAACUCAGAAGGAAGUUCCCACUAGGGUUUUACCUAUUUUUACAGAUGAACUAGAGUAUGUCUUUCUCAAAGAUACUUGCUAACAGUGGGCCUAGAACUGAACUCAAAGUCUUGACACAAUCUGUCUGUCCCCAAGUCUCCCUCAACAUAAGCUCUAAAUAAAUGGCUUGAUUGGAGCCAAGGUAUUGUGAUUAGCUUGAAUACAGAGGUUACCUGCUUACUUGCAACAUCCCUGUCUGUUUGAUACGUUUAAAUUGCAAGAAAAAGAAAACUCAUUUCUAUUCUCAAUGUUGGAUGAUAUUGCAGAAUUUACUCUUGUGUCUGCCCGGGCCCACCAUCACGUUAUCUGCCACCUCCACCCAUGUGUGGAAAGGAGCUGGAGUCAUUUGUAGGACAACAAUGAGUGUCCAAACAACAGCAUAUUAAUAACCCAGCCUUCUCUUAAAAGCCUUUUCUUGAUGGCAUCUCCAGCUUUUCACUCAGGCAUGAAAAAUCUCAGGAUGACCACAUGACCUGGCGUGGGUGAAAGUGAUGGUGGGGAGGGGCUAGCAAUCCAAGUUCCAGCUUUUAUCUACUUUCUCUUUGGAAUCAAGCCCAAGGCCUGACUGCAUGGCUGUCUGUGCAAAGGGCCCCUUGACAACAUCAGGAUUUCAGCUUCAGGGAGAGAGGUUUCCUGUACGCAGAUACAGCUGACCCCCUUCGCCUGGGGUAGCACAAAAGGGGAAGGGAACUCCGAACUAUACACUUAGUCAGGCAUAGGACCUACAUCAAGAGUUUCUCUCACACAGCUCUGUGUUCUCGUUCUCCAGCACUUUUUGUGAAGGGAGAAAUUAAAAGAGGAAGAGAACACAGAAAAAGGCUAUAUACCUUGUACGGCGCAAAGCUAAAGAAAACUGAGUUCUCUGCCCACUGGGCAAUGGGGCCAUUUUUCUCUUUUACUGCAAUGUUCACCUCUAUUGUCUGCUUAUUAUUUCUCUUGGUUUGCCAUUUUUGCUCCUUAGCAUUUUUCUUUCUUUCCAUCCUCAUUUCUGGAGUUAGAUUCCUCCGUAGCCUGUGAAAUCAUCACGGCGAUGCCUUCCUUUUGCCCCCUCUCCAAAAUCUGCCAUGAAUUCUAGAACCUCCUGUCCAGCUUUCUAGGGAGCUGCUGGAGCCUCGCUCACCUGCAGUCUCUGUGUGAGGCUGAAGAAAUCGAUUUAAAUAAAACUUCAAACAGAAGUUGAGUCUGGAUCAGCAGGAUAGCUCAAGAGAUAAGGGCGCCUGUUACCAAAUCUGGGAACCUGAGUUUGAUCCUUGGGACAUGAACAAUGCCUCCACCCCAAUGCACACAAGUGAAUAAGUAUAAUUAAAAACAAACAAAAAAACGGAAGCUUAGGUAGUAUGUUUUUUUUAAAAAAAAAGUGCUUCUGGGAAAGAACACAACUCAAAAUGUAGCACUUCAGAAGUUACCAGGCCGGGGAGGGGAGGGUGCUGGCUCCCCAGCAGGCCCUGGGUAAUUCCUGGCCUCCUCUCAGUUUGACAGCAACACUCCAAGUUCACUGAGCAGGCAAACAGGCCUCUGCUUAUCCUGACUACACUGAGGUCUCAGUGCAGUUUCCAUAAAUUACUCCUCCAGUCAUCUUUGCUUUCUCUUCUGCAGUGCGACUUGGGGACACUCCCUGCCUGUUUCAUCUCUCCCAUUGCCAAGAAAGCUUUCCCCCAUGCUUGUGCAUUUUCUAUAAAUUAGCCACACAGAUUAGUCAAAUUAAACUGUCUAGAUUUCCCCCCUAAAACUCCCAUCCUCAUCUUGGCGGGCCAUAUGCAGCCCUAACUUACUCUCACCUCCACUUUCCCACACCGUCUGGUCUCCACUGACUAAUGCUCCUGUCAGCAGAUCUACUGGGCAUGGGUUACACAGACUGGUCACCAGGCGGACACACGGAGAGACACAAUUCUUCUCCCUCUGGGUACAGACUAGCGUGUGUCAGGCCAGAAGGGCAGAGGAAGGAAGAACAUCCCGCCGACAUACAAGGCUUCCCAAUACACAGCUGCAAGGGCUCAGAGAAAGGCCAGGCCAUCGAGGCAGGGAGUUGUGUGCAGGGGGAGGGGGACUUGUAUGCACAGGGGAUGCUAAUGGCCCAACCUGACAUUUGUGUUUCAAACAAAUUCUCAUGGAAAAGGUAAUUGAGAUGAAAGUUGGCACUUAUUACAUUUCUGUCAGCCCAACCCCAAUUUCUCAUAGAGCCUAGUCAUGUGGAUACAUGCUAAUUUCCUUGGCAGCCCAAGAUAAAGCUCUUAAUGUGAUUUGAGUCCCUUGGAGAUUAGCACUAUUAUAAAUAUAAAUGUUCAAACACAAGCGAGUUGUAACCAAAUGCCCACCACACACUGGCUUUCUGCUAGCUGGGGCUUUCAGUGGUGUAUGGCUAAAUGGACUCACUGGCUAAUGUCAAGGCGGGGUUCCUUCCCACAGGAAGCAGCCAACAUGUGUGUUACUUGUGUAUGGAAUGUACAGAAGUUGGGAGAACGGUUUGGAUGACAAUCAGAAAAAUACCAAUUCAGAAGCUCAAGCAAGGGUUUGGGUAGGGGACUGUAAUCAAAACAGGCUCUUCUUGCAGCCAACCUGCAAAACCUAACCUUCAUGUUCUGAUUAGUUUGUGUUGCUUGCACAUGAUGACACCCUCCACCUCCCGAAACCAACAGCUAUAAAUAGAUAGCAAGUUGUUUAUAUAAGAGAAAAUAAGGUCUGAACGCUUAGAAUGUGCAUUUGACACUAAACCAGUGUGACUGUUUGGAGCACAGAAGCUGUAUACCUCACCCAACUGGGGUUUUGAUGUGGUCAUCACUCACAUAGUAGUGCUGUCCCCUGGCAACACCUUGUUUGCCCAAUUCUGAGGUGGUCGAAAAUAUAAAAACAUUCCUGUUUUAAGAAAAUUCUAAAAUGAAAGGUUACUUCAUCAACUUGCCCAAAUUUAGCACAAACAUCCACAGCCUGUUUGCUUCCUCUCAGUUGGGAAACUAUUUUACUUGGCCUUUGACUCUGUGUCUCUACCUUCGUACUCCACAGAGGGGGAAAUUCAGGGGUGGGGGAGGAGGGAGAGAGGGAGGACAGAAGAAGAAAGAGAGGGAUGGAGAGAAUGAGUUAGAACCAGUCAGACUUGAUCCUGAACUUGGUAUCCCUCGGGUGUACUUGCCUCCUGCACUCUUGGCUGAAGGUUCGGUCAUCAAAGGGAAGGGGAUAAAGUGAAGAAAUAAUGGAGUAUUAUCCCCUGGCCAGCUGUGCCCGAUCCUGAAAUGGGUGUCACCCUACUAUGCCAACCUAAGGCCGCCCUCCAACUUGUAGCAAUCCUUCUGUCUCAGCUUCCCUAGUGUGGGAUUACAGGACCGUGACUGCUCAGUCCCACUGUGUGCCUUACACUCCAUGUGACCACUGGUGGUAUUUGCUGAAGCCAUGGCCUCCAGCUGAGGGGCCACUUUCCCCUUUGUACCCACUCUGGACGCAGCUCAAAGGCAACUUCGAAUACUUAGGAAGGUCUUCUGGGUCUUGUCCCUGCUCCCCAUCACCUGAGACUUUUCUCGCCAGGCUUCACCUCUGUCUUAAGGAGCUUGUGUGCACUACUGCCUGCCUGUAUUCUGUUGGAGUGCAGUGUGCAUUUGACCUGUCUGCUUUUCUGGGAUCUAACAGCGCUUGGUACCUUAGCAAAGCUGUGUGUUUACACGACGGCUAAGCGACUACGAACAAGCCCUAACUCAAACAGGUCCAUAACAAAUGUGUUGUGCUCUAGAAAGAUAGACAUGUUACACAUUUUAAAAGAAGCUCGAGACUGCCUGGGACUUUAACCUAAGCCUGGGAUGCUUAACUGAGUUCCAAAGUCACCACAGCACAGAGUUACCUUGGUCAAUGUACAAAACAUGUUUGACCCUUAGUACACUCUACAAAGAUAUACGGGCUCAAGGUAAGAAUGUCACGGGAGUUGCAGACUAGACAGGAGCCAAAUGGCACUGUGGUCCCUUUAUUAAAAAACAAAACAAAACAAAACAAAAAAAACAGUAAAUUAAAUACUUAGAGAAAGGUACUAGAAUUGGACUGCUUCAGGGAUAGCCACUGUCUCACAAAGUUGAGAAGCCAUGUGAUAGGUACAUAUUAGGUACUCUCAAAGGGGUCAGAUUUCCAUAUAAGCAUCUCGUGCACUGACUGGUGAUGAUGAGUUAGGAAGAACAGGGUGUUAUCUGGGGAUCAGCCUGCUAGGGUCAGUAGGCAAUGGUUAAGAGGUGGUUGGUAUAUUUGAGAACAGCCUGCCGCUCUCUACUACCCCGUUGUGGUGUGCAGCAGAAAUAGCAGCAGUGGGCACGGCCAACAAGGGGAUCAAGAAGUACGGCCACCUAUUCUGAGGGCUGGAGGCUAAGAAGAGAGAAGCCCUGUUUAGCCAGAUGUGGAGCACCCUGUAAAUUGCAAGCCAUUGCAGCUUUUGCUCUGAGCUUGGGGUUGCAUUGAUUCCCCUGCCACUCCCUGUCACCUGUCACUCCCUGUCCCUUCUGGGAUCCCCAGCCUUGUUCUCUUGGCAGGUCAGAGGUGUGACUUCCAUAUCCCAGGCUCAUUGUCCAGUCACUGAGAGCCACUGGAGCAGCCAAGCAAGGACUCUGGACUGGGACUCUUUUCUCUGCUGCUUGAAGACAUUUCUCAAGUCUUGAAGGACCCAGUUAAUACCCACAAGGUUUGCUGAGCAGCAAGCACUACCAACAAAGUUAAGAAGGCAUUAGAAAGAGGUGAGUAGGGCAAGAAUUGACAGCAAGGCUCCCCCAGUUCUGGAGAAACAGCAUCAAAUGGCAGCAGAAUGUCCACAAAGGAAAAUGUCUUUUCUUAUGUAUAUCAUCCCAGCCAUGCUGCCAGGCUUGGGACUUGCUUCAAUGAUGUUUUGAGUCAAAUGGCUCUUCAUUAGGGAAGAGGAAGAACACGGGCUUUCUUGCAUGUUUAGCAGUAUUCUUGACUUCAACCCACGAAAUGCUAAUACAAACUCAUCAAUGGGUGACCACUAAAAAAUGUCCCCUGGCCUGGGGAGAAGACUCAGUCAGUAAAAUGUUCCCCAUGCAGGCAUGAUGAUCUGUGUUUGUUCCUUAGAACUCAUAUUUCCCAAAGCUAGGGCAUGGUGGUACAGACUUAUAAUGCCAAUGUUGGGGAGUCAGAGACAGGCCCAUCCCAAGCAUGAAUUGGCCAGCCUCUCUAGCCUAUUUGGUGAAUUUCAAGAAACUGAUAGACCCUGCCUUUAAAAAGGUGGAUAGUUCCUAAGAAACAGCAUCUAAAGUAUAUGCACAGUACACACACACACACACACACACACACACACACACACACACACACACCACACACACACCCCUUUGCUUGGGCACUACAACAAUACCAGGAGCUGGCAUCUACAUCUACAUCCAGUUGACGUUCACAUAGAAACUCGAGUGUCUAAAGAAACUCAAGAAACUCUUCCCAAGUCUAGUUUUGAGUGCAUAGCCUUUUCUGCCUAGAAGCUACAGUGUAGUGAAUCCCGUAACUACUAAGAAGCUCACCACUCAGUCUGACCUCUAGACGAGCAGAGGUCCAGAAAGGAAUGCUUGCCAAAAGCAGCCUAUGGUGGACACAGCACAGCCUACGGUGGACACAGCACAGCCUACAGUGGACACCGCACUGCCUUCCAUCUUCUUCUUUCCCUUCUCCAUUUUGUGCCUGCUGAGCGGGCGUGUGGUGAGUAAGAUCCAGAAUAUGAACACAAAUCUGGAGCCGCCCUCCUUCAUGUCCUGGCACUAAACAAGAAAGUCUCCGCACAAAUAAACAAUUAAGUUAAUUGUGGGUUUGACAAAUAUUUUUCCCCUGAGGAAUUAAGUACCAUUUGGGGUUAUGUUUCCAGGCUGAGCACCAGAAGGCAAGAAAAUGAAGGAAUAUGGUCAGUUUCCCAGGACUCUAAGCCCUAAAGAAGCGACAUAACACUCACUGCCAAAAACAGGGCCAAAUCUGUCACAAUACCUAAGGGAAGUCACCCUAUUCAGAUUUCACCUAGCCAGAGACCUGGGAUGCUCCAGGGAGGAGUGUAGACGGUGUCCUUACAGCAGUUGUCAAACAAUGGCUUACUUCAUGCAAGCCCUAUACACACAGAACUACACCAGAGGAUAUUGAACAGGGUGCCCUGGAGGGCCACCCAUGUCUUUCUUCUUGUGACAUUAGUUUCAGUGAAAAUCAGAACUGGCUGUUUUUGGCUUCAACCUUAAGCUCCAGCUGGCUUUAUCUGGUCUCACUUAUUCUAAUUGUAGCUUAGUACACCGGCAGAGGUCACACCUGUGUUUAUGUCAUAUGCUAUCCAAAUAUGACGGAGGGAACACGGUGUGGCCCCCAUCAGAAGAUCAAAAACACAGGGUAGGAGGAAGGCCUUGCAGCCCUCCUGAAACCUUGACACAGGCCUAGGCACACUCCUCCUACCUGCUGAGGUGAAGUCUAGACCAGGCACGCACUGUUUAUUGACAGAGAAACAAAUACUCUCAGCCUGUCCGGUUUCAGAACAACUAGGGAGUUUCCAGUCUGGACAUGAGAGAACUUUUACACUGUACCCAAACAGUCUUUUUUUUUUCUUUCUUUCUUUUCUUUAGCCAAAAUUAGAACAAAAGCAAACAUUUACAGGGCUUCUUGCAGUAGGAAGAAGAAAUGCAAAAGUCAAAACGUUUCUUUUGAAAAACUUUGUCCAGCUCUACACUCGCCUGGCCUAGACCUUGGGAAGCUGGAACUGGGUAGGGAACAGGCGUCCCCCGGGGCCUGGAGGCCACACUUGUUCUGGGUCAGUGUCCAGUUUCAAGAUGAGACCAUGACAGAGACUGACUUGUCAGAAAACAACAUCCAACCACGAAACUCCAGGGUCUCUAUGGACAGCUAUUCAACCUGGAGCCAUUGCACUGCCUGUUCUGGAAUAACCCCUGAGGACAACUAACUCUCAUAUAAAGGCUAUGCCCUGCUAACUUUAUCCAGAAAGAGACUGGAACUGUGAGGAAGGAGAAAAACAAUCUGUUUCAGGCUGUAUUCUCCUGGGCUCUCUGCUAAAGCACAGUUUCAUCAGAAAACACCAACUCUACCUGAACAUCUUGGAUGUCAUUUGUUUAAACAGGUUUGUUUUCUCAGUGGGGCUUAAGCAUGUUUUCCCCUGGUGUUUUUGAAGGGGAUAUUUAAACUAAAAUAAAAAUAAAUGACAUGUUUUAGAAGUUCGAGUCAUGAGGCCCGGAGUAGAGCACAGAGAUGGGCAGAGGAAGUGCGUUUUAGGACCUGUGCACUUGCUCUCCUGUUUUGGUUGCUCUAAAUAGAUUUAGGCAAACAAAUGGAAGAGAGAGAGAUGUAUUUCUACCCCACACGAGUGAGGAAUGACGACUUUAUCCCCAUGUGGAACUAGGCUUAGAGUCGGUACUGAUCAGAGUCAUCUGUCUCCCAAACGUUCUAAGCCCAACUCUAGUACUAAGAGUUCUAGUAAUCAUGUAAGACUUCUUUCUUAUUUGCACGCAGGUGUUUUCCUCAUCUGGCAUAGUCUUCACAUGGCUGAGCUUAGAGGCCUUAGGGACCAGUGGGCACGAAGAACCACUUACUAUAGAGUCCCAACAGAGAUUAAAAUUGCCUGGAAGUUCCUUCUAAGUGAAAAAGUAAACACGAGACUUUAUCACAGAAAGGGUUUUCCCCUUAGAUAAAAGAAUCUGUUAUUUGGUUUGAGGUAAUUCAUAAAUUCUCUAGCAAUAUUAAGCUAAAUAUUUUAUGAAUUUUUCUGGCAUGGAAAUUAGGGUUUGAGAACUCCUGGAAUAAAUUCAUUUGUAGACUAGUCAUCAAGUAUUUUGUACAAUGACGAGACCUGGCCCGAGAAACUAUUAUGAGUGUCUUGUUCUCUCCACCCCUUGUGAAUGCUAGGGGUGCACGGGCAGGAGGAAAGAAACACAGGAAGCCAAUGCAUAUGGGCAGCCUUAGGGAACUACAGCCUUGUCCUGUGCGCUCAAGAUGACCUGGCCACCUGCUUGGCAGCCUCCAGUGCAACGUCAGUGUGUGCUCAUAAAGCAUUCACUAGUUGAUGGCCGACUGAAUGAAGACUGAAACAACACGCGAACACAUUCCUCAGUGAGUGGGAGAGUGACUGGGUGAGCAGUAGGCAUCUGACUACAGGCCCAUGAACAACUAUAUUCAUCUUAAGUUGCUGGGUCCCCUUUGGCAGAAUGUCUCAAACAUGACUUUCCUAAGGCCAAUGGAAUGGCUCCUUUGUGCACUUUGUGUGAUUCAGCUCUACAAAAUGAAAACAACAGAAGGAAUCCUUGAAACACAAAACCUCUGGCUAAAGAGACAAGUUUCUAAAAGGACGCUAUGCCAAGAGUCUCCCUGUCGCUCUCUGAAUGCCUGCUGUGAAAUUUCAGACUUCAACCUGCGUUGGUCAGAGAGGAUGUCUCUCCUGGGUCGUCUGGGUACUUCUCAUCACAGCACCACCGUUUAUUGUUGCUGGAAUGGACUAUCCCAAAAUAGACCCUGGGAGAAAAGAGGAUCUUGAGCCUAAAAGUCCAUGUUUGGGCAUCCCCUUUGGUUUGGCUUUGGCAAGGAGUGUGUGGCAUUGCGUUGGUAAUGGUGCAGAUGAGAAAGAAAGAUCACAUGGUGAAUGAGGAAGUCAGAGACCAGAGGGAAGCCAGCCUUGCUGGUUUUAUAAUAAUCUAACGCUCAUGAGAACUAGCUCACUCCUGGAGGCCUUCAUUAGCCCCCUCAAAGGCAGCACUUCUCUUAAAGAGUUCCAUCUCUUAAACUCCCUCGUCUUCACACUGUCACUCCCCAGACCAAGCUCUCAAAGUCCUGGGAGACCCACUCAAAUGGCUGCAGCCUCCCCUGUAUUUAGUGAUGGCUGACUGCCUUCAGUUGGAAUCUUUACCCAUGUUUGAAACUAACUGUUACUUCUCCUGGGUCAGGGAACCUAGCAGAAGAAUUAACAGAUUAUUAUCAUUUGUUGAUGUAUAACAAAGACAUUUUAGCAACUUUGAUUUUUCCCCUCCAAAUGUUUUUGCUUUAACAUUUUGGGGGGCCAUCGGAAUCACAGACUCUCAAAUCUGGUGCAAGAAGGAAGUAAUGAAGUUCUUUCAGGAAGGCAGAGUUAGGGCCCUGCUGGCUUCUAAGCCAUCUCUGAGAUUCACGUGGAUAACUAGGGAAGGUAUUGGGAAUGUGUUUCCUGUAUGUUCUCAUCUUCAGGUAGAAGGACCAACUUAAGCACAGUGUUUACCAAGAAGAGCGUCCCCAAGACAGCCAACAUGGGACUGUAAGCUAUGCACAACAAGAACCACACUAGGCCAUCAGCCACUUCCAUAAAUGCAUGGUUCCAGUGAGAGAAUAUCUGAGCAAGAUCCCUUGUGGUGACCUAGUCAGAGACCAGGAGCCACACUAGCCUGUGGGAGAGACUAUUAAUAGGCAAGUUUCAGGCUACUAUAACUGCCAUGCCUGGGGGGAGGAGCGAGGCCAUUCUAAAGAAACACUCAGGCAUCCUAGGGAGUUGGAAUAGCCCCGGCCCCUACCCUGAAACGUGAUGGAAGAUGGAAAAGUCUGAAUUCUGGUGCCAGCCAGAGGCAGAACUAGUCUCCUAUAAAGAGGAAAGGCUUUUACCUGGGGCAGGUAACUUAUCAGACCACCUUGUAGGAAACACUAGAGAGGGGAGACAAGGAUGGGUCAAUGACCGCACUGACCAGGACUAGUUCACUCUUCAUAUUCCUUGCCUUCUAUUAAAAGUUUACUCAACAUUCAGAGGGCAAGUGGCUAAGCCUGGCUUGUUUGAGCUGCCAGGACAUAGGCUCUGGUCCUAGCUCUAGUAGUACGACUUUGCUUAAAACUGGAACUGAGAGAGCUAGAAGGAAAGAUGGCUCAGUGGUUAAGGAGCACUUGAUCAUCUUACACCAGACCUUGGUUUAGCUCCCAGCACAACUAUGGCAGCUCGGAACUACCUUGAACUCCAGUCCCAGGGGUUCUAGCCCCUGUGGCACCAGGCGUGAAUGAACAUACACUCGGGCAAACCAUGCAUACGCACAGAAAAUAAAUAAACGAACACACAACGGCACUAAGUAAGAGGCAUUGCCAAUUGUCAUCCUCAGAAGAUUGGUCACUACGUGGCCAUGGCCAGCUACAGGACAGGAAGGUCUUCCACGCUGCCAAAAGAUCAAAGGUCUGCAAGUGCUGCUGAGAAAUGAAAAUGAUUCCGAAUUAUAAGCGGGGUUGGACUCGUGCCUGGGAGGAGGGGGACAUUGUGCAGUCAAGUCUUCAGUGUGCAAGGUGGAAACGACAGUUGAUGGGCGUGGGCGAGGCCCUCAUAGCAAAGAAUGCCCAUUUUCAUCAGAUUAAAAUCUAGCUUGGGAAAACAAUUACCUGCCUGGGAUCCUGGGAAAGUUAAAACUUCCUGGUUCCUCCCCCUGAAAGGAAACACUAGAAAAGGAGGACUGAGAAUCUUCUAAACAAGAAUUUAGAGUUUUACUCAAACAGCUGCAGUUCGCCUUUGUGGGCCUCAGACUCGCUGCCUCUGAUGGAUGCUGCAAUGCUAAGUUCCAGGUCUCCCCAGUCUGGUGCCAAGAGCUGGCCCUGGGGGACAAAGCGAGAACAGUUGCUCUCUUAAUCAGAGCAGAAAACAAAACUCACCCCCCCACCCCCGCUUUGUUGUGAAAUUGUCACUGGGCCUUUGAGGAGCGAUUAAAAUCCCAGCCAUGUCAAAUUUAAAGGGCAGGUUCCCAGGCAGGGAGAGGAGGGAGCUUAAGGAGGGAAGGGUGGGGGCAGCCAGUUUCAGGAAAUUUAUGGAGGAUUUGGGGAUCGCAAAAGUCAUGGGACCUGAUUCAAUUAAAACGGAAAAGCACCAACACAGUUUUAAAAUAAGCUUAAAAUAUGGCUGAAGGAUAUUUUGGCUUCUCUGAUUCUAUUCCUGAGCUUCUAUUCUGUGUAGUGUGACGGUGGCUGUCCUGCCUCCUCUCCAGCCCUUAACACAGAUAGCAGGAGACAGCGGAAGACACUCGGGAGUCUGUCAGAGCCCACCAAAGGCUCUGACACAGGGGUAGGACCAGGAGUUCUCGGGCACGGGUGUAAAAGCGCAGAGCUUGCCAUGCGAUCCAUGCAGGGCUCUGUGGUUUCACAGCACCCCCAGGGUACCAGACCCGGAGUAGCCUGACUUUCAGAAGGCAGCCUGGGUCCCUCCAGGCUCGCAGGCUGCUCGCUCCAGCUCUCUGGUGCUGACUAUGCCUAGAACGAGCAGAAACCCCUGCCGUGUUUUCUCCUGGAAGGAGGACGAGACUGUGCCAGUUCUAAUCCAUGGGUGCGGUGCCCAGAGAAGCACAUGCUGGAACGCAGGACGGAAGCUGGGAGGUGAAGGCCCCAACUGCAUCGGCACAGGACCAGGGUCUUCACUCCUUGUGAAUAUCACACUGAUGCUUGGGUGGGCUGAAGGAGUCAUUCUUAAGUCAGUAGGGUCCCAUCAAGUCAGGUCUAGCUCAUUGCUAGGGUGGGACACACUACAGUAGCUGGCUCCUAGGCGAGGGCUCUUGGGAAGAGCAGGUGGCCAUCUUAGCACACAAGGGGUACAUGACCGAGAUGUCAGAGCUCAUUGCUUCCCUUGUGCCUUGGCUGACUAAUCAUUAACUUUCCUGUUUCCUUUCCCACUGAGAUUUCUGCAUCUUGGCAUCUAUCAAAAUGGUGCUGGGAUGAAUCUUGCUCAUUCACAAAAGACUACAGGCCCCAGUUCAGUAAGUAUGUGGAAGUCCGUGCAAUCACUUUUCUUCUCCCCUUCUUUCUAAAUACACUAAAGACCCCUAGCAGAUAUUUAAGAAACCUUACACGGGCUAUGAAAACUGAGUUUUAGUAGCAUGACAAUAAAUAUCAUUUGAUAAAGUUGUUUUCUGAAUCAAUCACAACAGGGUAACCCAAAUAGCUAAAAUCGGGGAAGAGAGAGGCUAAAAUCCCCCAAUCAAGAGAAGCUCUCGGGUGUUGCUAGGAAUUCCUGCUCUUAAGCAAAAAUUGCAGCAGGAAUGCUUGUACCCUUUGUGAAGUGGGAAAUAAAGGGCUUCAGCUCUCUGGAUCUACAGGGGCUCUGUGACUGCAUUGAUUCCUCCCGGAAAGAGGAGGAGGCAAGGGCUGUCUGCCCACUGCACACGAGGCUUAGUCUCCAUGGUGUUUCCUACUUUCCCAGGCCCACCACAGCAACAGGAGUGGUUCACUGCCAGCCAACAAGGGGGCUGUCCUUGGUGGGAACUCUGCCUGAGUAGCAGGGAGGACUGGAACUACAUUGCUGGGUGAGUGUGUCUCCGAAAAUAUUCCUUACCUCCUACUUCCUUACCUCCUACUUCUUACCUCCUACUAGGGAUGGGGUUCCUGACUCUUACCUCCCAAGGCUCCGGCAGAAAUUAUGGGUGGAAAUGUCCUUUUUCUUAUUAUAGAUAUACCAAAAAGAAUAAGCAGUAAACCCACCCAGGGGUCCCUGAGCUCCUGAAGACCAGUGCGAAUGUGUCAAUAAACAGUCCCUUUGAUUCAUUGCUAUCCGUGGGACUUUUUGUGUCUUCAGGUACAAAUAGGAGAAGGUGUUUUGUUAUGUACUCCAGAGCUGGUAACAUGGGGCUUUCAGAAGACUGUUCCACUCCUGCCUCUACACCCAGAAGUGCAAAAUUGUCACCUCCUUCAGUGAGGUUCCUAAUUUAGAAGAUGCCAUGUUUAGAGUUCAUUUCAGUUUGACUUGUAAAUGAAAGGUGGAACCUUGUCAAAAUGACCUUACCCGGUGACUCCUGUCCCCACCCACUCGCACAUAACCCUCCUUGUCAUGCUGAGAUGGGACAGAUGCCAUUAGAAAGAGAAGCCAAGAAGCACAGAGCAAGCAGUGAAGCUCCUUCAGCCACGUAAAAGUGUGUCCUCCGCUCCGAAGUCUGACUGCCCUGUGCUCCUUACUGGUAGAGAUGGUCUCAAGCCUUGAGGGUCUUGGAAUCAGUAGGGAUCCUGAGCAAAUAGCAGAUGUAUUUAGGUUCUCCCCUUCCCUAGCCUUCUAAAUCAGUGUCUCAGGAUCUAUACGUUGUUUUGGGACAAUGUAUAGAAAUACCCAGUAAGAGUUGGGGAAUUCUUACGGAAACGGAAGUGUGAGUUUCUUCCAGUGCUCAUGGCUAUCAAGCUGUCAUUUGCAGAAGGUCUGACACAGUCACCCUCACUAUCCCUCUACUAAAUCCUCAUGAUAAACCCAGAUUUUUUUUUUAAGAGGAAGCAACAUCGGAAGAAUUCAAGUGGACCUAAAAUAGGGGUCCUCGGCUAGGAGAUACGUCCUGUGAUGUUUCACAAUAUCAAAUUCAUGUGGAAGAUUUUACAAGGGUCCUGCCCUUCCAGAGACAGCCUGGUUACUGAGGCAGGGUAAGGGCAGAGGCAAUCAGUGACUCUUUCCGGGUCCAACCAGCAGCUGCUGGCUGUACCUUCUUACUUCUGCCUACCUGGUUAGCUCUGGGCUUUGUUCUCUGUUUUCCGAUUUUAUUGUUUUCCUCUUACCCUGCUUCGUCUCCUAACUUCCCUCCUGUGCAGUGGUCGUACCCAGAUAACCACCAAGUCAUUUAGUGGGAUCUGAGUCAUAUGCCCAGGGAGAGUGGCAGACUGGUUUGGAUUAUGGCUUGGACACCAGGAUCCUUUGGAACUCUGGAUUAGUUCCAUUGCACAGCUAAAGUCUGGAGCUGUCACUCCACACCUGUCAUCUGCAGCCUGCAGAAGGAGAAGAUUCACCAGGAUAUAUUCAGAUGAGCGAGGUAACUGACUACCAUAUACUCAUAUAACCAGGAUACUGCAAAGAUGCCCAGGGCAGGCCCAGGGCCAGCCCAGCCAUAUCGCCGCUCACACAGCUGCCACCAUCUGCUGCAGGGAACAAGAGUUCCUAACUCCUGUAAGUAAAGUACAUCCUAGGCUGGCCUGUGCUAAGGCAUUCUGGGAGAACAUACACUGCCCCCUUGGGAUCGGGGGAUGCCCAGGGGUGGGUGCCAGGAAGUAGGGCAGGAGCACAAGUGUCCUGAACAUCGAAUGGUCUGAAACAAGGAGUGGCUGUGCACACACCGCUCUCCCAGGGAGAUCCGUACCAUAAACCCGACCAUAAAACUAGCUUCCUUGGCUCAUUCUGCACCAGCUCCCAGUUUUAUUGCUCACACAGCACUCAUACCCUGAGAAGGACAGCACAUUUGCAUAGAACUCUGCUUCACAUUGGUCUCUUCAAGGAAGCACUGCAGAGUGCAAUAAACGUCAUAUGCCUUCCUGGAGCACUUGCCUGCAGACAAGAAGGACUCCCUGCGAAAGGGGUUCUUAUAUAACAUAGACCAUGGCUGCCAGGGAAGAUGUGGCUGAAGAGCGAAUUCCUAAGCUACCUAAAGGCAUCUACAAAGGCCUGGGAUCUCCGUACUUCCUGCAGUGACUAACCUCUGCUGAGCUUUAAGUGACCAAACACACGUGGCACUGGAGGUGGGCCUUGGACCUGCUCCCUGCUCUGCACCUUUAAAUGAUGAAGAAGGGUAAAGCAUGGCAGAUCGCAGUGCUGUAGGGGUCAUCCAUCCACUUAGGGAAAGCCAUCAGAGAAGUCAAGAAAUAACUUCUCCAGAUAAACCCCUGCCUGGGGCCAAGAACAAAGAAAAGGAUGGAGACAAAGUAUCUGUCUCUCUUAGGUGUUGUGUGAGGAGAGCAGGCCCACUGUUGGAGCCACUGUCCAAGAACUUGUCCUAGAUUGCAGAAAGCAUCACAUGAGCUAAACCAUUACCAAGAAAAGAUAGGUCAAGGGGCCGUGGAAAGAGCAGGUUAGAUAUACACCUCCCGCCACCCGUCUCUCUCUCUCUCUCUCUCUCUCUCUCUCUCUCUCUCUCUCUCUGGUAUGGGGACAGGCCUUCCUUGUGAGAGACAGCUGCAGAUACGGCCUGUAUAUAACCACUAUCUUAGAGCUGUGCCUUUCAGGGCUGAAGCAGCUUCUCAUGAAAACAAUUUCAAAGCAACCUGGAAGUAAAAUGUCUCCAGAGGAGAUGACCAGACAUCACUGCCUACAUGGCAAGAGUUAAGACAAAAUGUCAUGGCAGCACCCUCUGUAUGGUAUGGGGGGCCUAGGACAAAUGUGUCUAGGACAGGCAUUACGCAUCUGUAAUCACAGAGUCUCAGCAGUAAACACUUGUCUGGGAGAAUGCCUUUGCUCUCUUCAUGUCCCAGCUCUUGUGUACAUUAAGCAGAAUAAUUUAUUUUAGCCAGGAUAACCAUCCUCCUCUUGUAUUGUGUCCUCUGAAGGCAGCUCGUUGUAGAGCAUCAGUCCUCCACUUCACCGAGCAAGGAGCUUCGACCAGGGCCCUGCCCCCACAAGUACGGACUGUCUCCAGGACCACACAGACACAGCUAUGUGACUGCCAGUCGGAGACAAGAAAAAAAAUAAAAGACACCUUGGAGAAACAUCAGCUACCCAUACUGACGACAUCUGCGUUGCCGUGACCAGGUCUCUGACAGCAACAACUUAGCAGGAGGAAUUAUUUCUUGUGGUUCACUGUUUUAGAGGUUCCAGUCCCCCGGUGCGGAGGGUGGCUCACAGGAAAGCAGAGCUCAUCUCAGGAAAGGGGAGAAGCCACCUCCAGCAAGUGGCUGGAGUCCUCCUGGCCUUCCCCUUGGACCUGCGCCACGGUCUGGGUACUCCCUCAGAUUUGGCUAAUCCUCUCUAGAGUACCCUCAUACCCAUGUUCUCACUUCACCAAUCCCCUUCAAUCUAACUCCCAUCAGCCUGACCAUCAAAUGUAGCCAUCACCGCACCUAACCAAGGGGAACAUGGGAACAUGUAUGGGGCAUCAUCUUGGCUCUGGUCUUGUCUCUUAUCACCUUUGUUCUGAUUCUGUAAUCCCAUGCUAUCUGGCAAAAUUAAGAAAGCUAGGUAGCUUGCCUAGAGUCACUUCCCUGGUCUGGGUUGAAAUCUUGGUAAUUAACAGGUGCCCCGACAAGCAGCAAGUCUUCCUCAGGCCUCCGUCCGCACCAGCUCGAGUGCACCGCACCUCACGCAAAUGCUAUUCCAACUGAACACCUUCCAUCUACCCAUCAGCUCUAAGAGACAGGUACCCCCAUGAACCCGGCACAUGGCUUGGAGUCCAUUCCCAUCAGUAAGAGCCAGGUUCUCAGCCUGCAGAACCUUGGGCCUUGACUUUAGCUUCUAAUCACUUCUCUGUCUUUUCCUGAGAUGUGCCAUACCAUCUAGUUUUAAACCGUACUGAUUAACAGGCAGAAAAUUGUCAAAAUAGCUUGGGUUUUUAGGAUGAAUACUUUAAAUACUAUAAAUCCACUCCUUGUGGGGAGUGAUCGUUUGGUGCGGCUUCUGCUGAUUGCUCGGUAUCUCUCCAAGACUGCGAUGUGCACAGACUAUUUUGGUCUCGGUUAAUAUAUAGCACUGCAUAAACACUGAGUCAACAGGAGGGGCUGAACAAUAAAUUAUCACUAGUCCAAGUGCUAAAAUAGCACCCGCUUUCUCUCUGCCUGAGCGUGCUAUCUAUUUAUGGUUCGCUUACUUCUGCGGAGUUCUAAGCCUUUAUAUACAUUUCAUCAUAGUUAUACUUAUGCACAUAUAUCAUCUUUAUUAUACACACACGUGUCUAAUGCACCCCUCCCUGCCUACCGUUUACUACGGGACUCUCGGUUUCCAGCUAACUUUUGAAUCCAUGACACUGUCUGCCUUUAGCUUAUGAUCAGUGGAAGAGUGGAUGUAGGCUGACAAUAAAAAGAGAUUUAGUUCA
rnacentral:sRNA from 1 species